CUGGUUGUGAAUCAAAGCAUUUGUAUUGGUACUUUGUUAUCAUCUGAAAAUUAAAAUUUUUGCAACCUUUUAAUUUGCCAACUACUGGAACACCUCUUCCAGACUAUCACUUCAUAUGUGUGUGAGGAAAUUGAACCUGGAAUAAAAAGAUAUUUUAUUGUUAUUAGAAGAAAUGAAAAGCAGUGGAAAGCUUACAUGGGGCACACUGAUUUUUCUAAUUUAGAAGAAACUGGAAAUGACAGUGUUAAAAUACAUCAGAAGAAUGAAACUCAAGAAGUAGCAUUGAUCUCAACAUAUAAUCUGUUCCUAGCUCGCCUACUUUUGCCAAUAAGUCUGCCUCAUCAGGAUUAUCGGUCUGUCCCCUGCCAACAUCUCCUGUGGCUACUGCAGCUGGCAAUACUGUCCGUCCAGUUACCGCUUUUGUACCUCGUCAAAGGUUUUUUCUGAUGAUGGUUAAAGAUAAAAAUAUUUAGAAAAAAAUAGUUAAAAUACCCUUUCAAUGUUCUUCAAAAAUUCUGUUGAUUCACAGUAUAUGUAGUGAAUUCCAGGUUCAAAGAGAACAAGGAGAUCAGAAGUAGAAACAGCCAUGAGAGAGGAAAAAUGUGCAAUUAAAGAAAGGAGUAUUGUCGAUGGAGAAUUUUUGCCCCAAGCAUUUACAUUCCCCGGAACUCUGCUGUUUCAAAUCAACUGAGAAGUUCUUAGCAUUCUCUGUAUAGAUCUGAUAUAGUUCCAUGCAAUAAUCAAUUGUUUGGUCACCUGAAGAAAUGCUACCAUGUUUUUUAUACAGUGAAAAAAAGCCUUGCUUAGGAAUCUGCAGAGAGAUUUUAGAAAGAGUAUUGAAUAAUUUAAUGCAACGUACGAAUAUUUGCUUAGACUACUUAAGGCUUCUUUUCUGAAUGACACUGUGUUGCAAUUUUCUGCUGAUAUCAAUACAAAAACUAACAUCUCAUGUACUAAUUCAUUUUUAUCUCACCCCGUUUUUUUGUUCUUUCAAAAUUUUGCUUUAUUUCUUAUACAUCUUACUUUCCUUUUGAGCUUUAAAAUAAAAUUUUAUGAACUUGA
rnacentral:lncRNA from 1 species